CACUAUCGUUAACUGAAUACAUAGGUUAACGAGGCGAACCGGGGGAACUGAAACAUCUAAGUACCCCGAGGAAAAGAAAUCAACCGAGAUUCCCCCAGUAGCGGCGAGCGAACGGGGAGCAGCCCAGAGUCUGAAUCAGCUUGUGUGUUAGUGGAACGGUCUGGAAAGUCCGACGGUACAGGGUGAUAGUCCCGUACACCAAAAUGCACAGGUUGUGAACUCGAAGAGUAGGGCGGGACACGUGGUAUCCUGUCUGAAUAUGGGGGGACCAUCCUCCAAGGCUAAAUACUCCUGACUGACCGAUAGUGAACCAGUACCGUGAGGGAAAGGCGAAAAGAACCCCGGCGAGGGGAGUGAAAAAGAACCUGAAACCGUGUACGUACAAGCAGUGGGAGCACCUUCGGGUGUGACUGCGUACCUUUUGUAUAAUGGGUCAGCGACUUAUAUUCUGUAGCAAGGUUAACCGUAUAGGGGAGCCGCAGGGAAACCGAGUCUUAACUGGGCGUUAAGUUGCAGGGUAUAGACCCGAAACCCGGUGAUCUAGCCAUGGGCAGGUUGAAGGUUGGGUAACACUAACUGGAGGACCGAACCGACUAAUGUUGAAAAAUUAGCGGAUGACUUGUGGCUGGGGGUGAAAGGCCAAUCAAACCGGGAGAUAGCUGGUUCUCCCCGAAAGCUAUUUAGGUAGCGCCUCGUGAACUCAUCUUCGGGGGUAGAGCACUGUUUCGGCUAGGGGGUCAUCCCGACUUACCAACCCGAUGCAAACUACGAAUACCGAAGAAUGUUAUCACGGGAGACACACGGCGGGUGCUAACGUCCGUCGUGAAGAGGGAAACAACCCAGACCGCCAGCUAAGGUCCCAAAGUCACAGUUAAGUGGGAAACGAUGUGGGAAGGCACAGACAGCCAGGAUGUUGGCUUAGAAGCAGCCAUCAUUUAAAGAAAGCGUAAUAGCUCACUGGUCGAGUCGGCCUGCGCGGAAGAUGUAACGGGGCUAAACUGUGCACCGAAGCUGCGGCAGCGACACUAUGUGUUGUUGGGUAGGGGAGCGUUCUGUAAGCCUGCGAAGGUGGCCUGUGAGGGUUGCUGGAGGUAUCAGAAGUGCGAAUGCUGACAUAAGUAACGAUAAUGCGGGUGAAAAGCCCGCACGCCGGAAGACCAAGGGUUCCUGUCCAACGUUAAUCGGGGCAGGGUGAGUCGACCCCUAAGGCGAGGCCGAAAGGCGUAGUCGAUGGGAAACAGGUUAAUAUUCCUGUACUUGGUGUUACUGCGAAGGGGGGACGGAGAAGGCUAUGUUAGCCGGGCGACGGUUGUCCCGGUUUAAGCAUGUAGGCGGAGGUUCCAGGUAAAUCCGGUACCUUUUAACGCUGAGGUGUGAUGACGAGGCACUACGGUGCUGAAGUAACAAAUGCCCUGCUUCCAGGAAAAGCCUCUAAGCAUCAGGUAACAUUAAAUCGUACCCCAAACCGACACAGGUGGUCAGGUAGAGAAUACCAAGGCGCUUGAGAGAACUCGGGUGAAGGAACUAGGCAAAAUGGUGCCGUAACUUCGGGAGAAGGCACGCUGAUAUGUAGGUGAAGCCCCUGCGGGUGGAGCUGAAAUCAGUCGAAGAUACCAGCUGGCUGCAACUGUUUAUUAAAAACACAGCACUGUGCAAACACGAAAGUGGACGUAUACGGUGUGACGCCUGCCCGGUGCCGGAAGGUUAAUUGAUGGGGUUAUCCGUAAGGAGAAGCUCUUGAUCGAAGCCCCGGUAAACGGCGGCCGUAACUAUAACGGUCCUAAGGUAGCGAAAUUCCUUGUCGGGUAAGUUCCGACCUGCACGAAUGGCGUAAUGAUGGCCAGGCUGUCUCCACCCGAGACUCAGUGAAAUUGAACUCGCUGUGAAGAUGCAGUGUACCCGCGGCAAGACGGAAAGACCCCGUGAACCUUUACUAUAGCUUGACACUGAACAUUGAGCCUUGAUGUGUAGGAUAGGUGGGAGGCUUUGAAGCGUGGACGCCAGUCUGCGUGGAGCCAACCUUGAAAUACCACCCUUUAAUGUUUGAUGUUCUAACGUUGGCCCCUUAUCGGGGUUGCGGACAGUGUCUGGUGGGUAGUUUGACUGGGGCGGUCUCCUCCCAAAGAGUAACGGAGGAGCACGAAGGUUAGCUAAUCCUGGUCGGACAUCAGGAGGUUAGUGCAAUGGCAUAAGCUAGCUUGACUGCGAGCGUGACGGCGCGAGCAGGUGCGAAAGCAGGUCAUAGUGAUCCGGUGGUUCUGAAUGGAAGGGCCAUCGCUCAACGGAUAAAAGGUACUCCGGGGAUAACAGGCUGAUACCGCCCAAGAGUUCAUAUCGACGGCGGUGUUUGGCACCUCGAUGUCGGCUCAUCACAUCCUGGGGCUGAAGUAGGUCCCAAGGGUAUGGCUGUUCGCCAUUUAAAGUGGUACGCGAGCUGGGUUUAGAACGUCGUGAGACAGUUCGGUCCCUAUCUGCCGUGGGCGCUGGAGAAUUGAGGGGGGCUGCUCCUAGUACGAGAGGACCGGAGUGGACGCAUCACUGGUGUUCGGGUUGUCAUGCCAAUGGCAUUGCCCGGUAGCUAAAUGCGGAAGAGAUAAGUGCUGAAAGCAUCUAAGCACGAAACUUGCCCCGAGAUGAGUUCUCCCUGA
rnacentral:rRNA from 1 species